rnacentral:rRNA from 1 species
CGGAGAAGGCUAUGUUAGCCGGGCGACGGUUGUCCCGGUUUAAGCAUGUAGGCUGAUUGUCCAGGCAAAUCCGGAUAAUCAAGGCUGAGGUGUGAUGACGAGGCACUACGGUGCUGAAGUAACAAAUGCCCUGCUUCCAGGAAAAGCCUCUAAGCAUCAGGUAACAUCAAAUCGUACCCCAAACCGACACAGGUGGUCAGGUAGAGAAUACCAAGGCGCUUGA